AGUGAACGCUGGCGGUAGGCCUAACACAUGCAAGUCGAACGGCAGCACAGUAAGAGCUUGCUCUUACGGGUGGCGAGUGGCGGACGGGUGAGGAAUACAUCGGAAUCUACUUUUUCGUGGGGGAUAACGUAGGGAAACUUGCGCUAAUACCGCAUACGACCUACGGGUGAAAGCAGGGGAUCUUCGGACCUUGCGCGAUUGAAUGAGCCGAUGUCGGAUUAGCUAGUUGGCGGGGUAAAGGCCCACCAAGGCGACGAUCCGUAGCUGGUCUGAGAGGAUGAUCAGCCACACUGGAACUGAGACACGGUCCAGACUCCUACGGGAGGCAGCAGUGUGGAAUAUUGGACAAUGGGCGCAAGCCUGAUCCAGCCAUACCGCGUGGGUGAAGAAGGCCUUCGGGUUGUAAAGCCCUUUUGUUGGGAAAGAAAAGCAGCAGGUUAAUACCCCGCUGUUCUGACGGUACCCAAAGAAUAAGCACCGGCUAACUUCGUG
rnacentral:rRNA from 1 species